AUGAUAAUGGGUUAGGUAAAUGUUUCAUGAUAAUGGGUUAGGUAAAUGUUUCAUGAUAAGAAUAUCAUGUCUUUUGUAUUAAAGAAUUAAAUGGAUGAAAUAUGAAGUUUUAUUAAAAGAAAAAGGGGUGAAAAGAACAAAGUUUUGUCCAUCUUUGUUCAUCAUAGCUGAAAGUUAGAGAAGAGAAAGGAGAGGAGAAAGCUCUUGAGUAUUUGGUCAUUAGGAGGAGGAAAAUUGAAGGCGGUUCGUGUGUGGAUCUCGUCAGCAUAUCGUCGCAAAUAGGAAAUCCCCAACCAUAGUGGGCUUGGAGCUGUGAGGGAAUUCGGAAUGGCCACCCGUUCUGAAAGUUUGAUUUUCUUCUGGUGAACUGGACAUCCUUUUAAUUACGUUUGAGGUUUUGGGCUUUUAAAUGUAAUAAGGCCGCUUAUUUAA